rnacentral:rRNA from 1 species
AACGAACGCUGGCGGCAGGCCUAACACAUGCAAGUCGAGCGCCCCGCAAGGGGAGCGGCGGACGGGUGAGUAACGCGUGGGAACGUGCCCUUUGCUACGGAAUAGCCCCGGGAAACUGGGAGUAAUACCGUAUAAGCCCUACGGGGGAAAGAUUUAUCGGCAAAGGAUCGGCCCGCGUUGGAUUAGGUAGUUGGUGGGGUAAUGGCCUACCAAGCCGACGAUCCAUAGCUGGUUUAGGAGGAUGAUCAGCCACACUGGGACUGAGACACGGCCCAGACUCCUACGGGAGGCAGCAGUGGGGAAUCUUAGACAAUGGGCGCAAGCCUGAUCUAGCCAUGCCGCGUGAGCGAUGAAGGCCUUAGGGUUGUAAAGCUCUUUCGUGGGGGAAGAUAAUGACUGUACCCCAAGAAGAAGCCCCGGCUAACUCCGUGCCAGCCGCCGCAGUAACAC